rnacentral:lncRNA from 1 species
AACAUUCCCCCCUCCCCCCAACACACAAAUAUAGUAAGACCACUCUCAUAAUGAGCAUGAAGGGAUAUAUGAAUUAGUCCCAUCAGAAUUUCAUGACCAUUUUGUCUGGUGACUUUGUGGUCCAGUAAUGUAGCGUUAAGUUUCUUGAGCAUCUACAAUUCAUUGCUCGUUUCCAAGCCUGUUUCAAAUGCUCCACCUUCCAUCAUCAGUCCCCUCAGGUAUGUCUUAAAGUUUGCCAAUUUUUAUGAUUCA